UACGUAGGGUCCGAGCGUUGUCCGGAAUUACUGGGCGUAAAGAGCUCGUAGGUGGUUUGUCGCGUUGUUCGUGAAAACUCACAGCUCAACUGUGGGCGUGCGGGCGAUACGGGCAGACUGGAGUACUGCAGGGGAGACUGGAAUUCCUGGUGUAGCGGUGGAAUGCGCAGAUAUCAGGAGGAACACCGAUGGCGAAGGCAGAUCUCUGGGCCGUAACUGAC
rnacentral:rRNA from 1 species